CCUGAAAUGGUUGAAAAAGAGGGUGGUGAGAUUAUAAAAUCCCAGUGAGUAAACAGAUACCAUCUAAACCAUCUAAAGUCGAGUAAAUGGAGACAGAUAAAAUAGUUUAACAUACUGAAAUUCAUCACCUUUCAACUUGUUUCAACCAAAUAAAAUCAAUUCAUAUAAAUCGAGUAAUUAACAUGGCUUAUGAAUUUCUUAAAAC
rnacentral:lncRNA from 1 species